rnacentral:rRNA from 1 species
CCCUUAGAUGUUCUGGGCCGCACGCACGCUACACUGACGAAGUCAGCGAGCAUGUCCUACGCCGACAGGUGCGGGGAAUCUUGUCAAACUUCGUCGUGAUGGGGAUUGAUUAUUGAAAUUCUUGAUCAUCAACGAGGAAUUCCUAGUAAGCGCAAGUCAGCAGCUUGCGUUGAUUACGUCCCUGCCCUUUGUACACACCGCCCGUCGCUACUACCGAUUGAAUGGUUUAGUGAGAUCUUCGGAUUGGCGCCACUGCGGCUCAGCAAUGGGCUCGGUGGAUGCCGAAAAGUUGAUCAAACUUGAUCAUUUAGAGGAAGUAAAAGUCGUAACA